UGUACCCGCAUGGAAGGAUGUCUAAAAGCGAACAGGAAUCUACCUGGAUAGGACGCAAACCACUUUAGCAAAGCCACAAUUUCAUCCAACGCAUAACCCAUGUUCCUUUUUAGAAUGAUUGGGCAUGUAUGUGUUACCGGUACACUUAUACCGCCAAAUAAAUUAAGCGGUUCAACUGUCACAAAACCUCGUGCUUUUUUUCGUCGUCAUUUUUUCACCGAGUCGAGUGUUUGGUGGUUUGGUCAAAGCUUUACCUUGCUGUUUUUUCAAUUGGGAAAAAUUUGCGAGAUUUCCUUUUUUUCUUGAAAAUCGCAUUAGCCCGCGUUGCUAAUAUACCUCUGAAUUAACAUAUUUUGCUCCAGCGGAACGCGGAGCAGCGGAACGAAAAACUGAUAAAAACGGGCAGAUUUCGGCGGAAAACGACUCUCUCUGAUGACGCAUCUCUAUCAUGCUCAUCAAGUGGGGCUGAAUCUGGGAAUGUAUCCAGAAUCCCAGAGCUGAAUGCUUACAUCCGUCUGUGUUUGUCUGUUGUCUUGCGGAGCAAAUCGAACCCGACGAAGUGGUGCUUUUGUUAAUUUCUCGCAUUCAUCGAAACGGAUGCCAGCCAGCUUUGGGGAAUUUUUCAUGACACACACAUCUCGGAUAACCGAUACUCGAUUAGCAACAUUAGCACGGAUUACACACAUGAAUGAGAGCGAGGGGAUCAGAGAUGCUUCACAAGCUAAAUUUCAGAAGAUCGAACAGAGAUAUUAUUCACCCAGUAGCACGAGCAUUCACCCGUUUCGAAAACUCCAUUUAAUCACUGCACUUCACCACCUGAGGUAUGUGAAGUCCAAAAAUGUUUCACCGGCGCUAAUGAAGCGUUCACGGUAACUGUAAUUAGUAUAGACAGGAUGCAGGUUUCACGCAGCAAAUCCCAGUUGAAAUAAGCUUCCAUCAGAACUUCUUAUAAGGUGAAGAUUUACAUUUUAAUUAAGCGCGGUAUUGAAGAAUGAUGGAGACGGUAAAGCUAAAACGACCAAUUGGACAACACCUCUAUCCCUGGGCUGCAUGACUACGAUAAUCCGCCAGACGCACCUGUAUGCCACAUUCGAGGCCGCAUUACAAAGAGAAGUCGGGCAAACUCCUGCUGGCCCUAUCCACCCGGUAUUACAAGCGGCCGGUAUAAUGCCGUACACGCCCAAUGUUCCGGUCGGGAGAAAUCAGACCCGGUGUCACCAAACUAAAAACGAUACACACUGCGUGCAGCAUCAGAAUCACGCCGCAGCACAUCUUUGUCCAUCUUUGAACUAGUUCAUACCAUUAUUUUAUUAUUAAUAAACAUA